rnacentral:sRNA from 1 species
AGGGGCCGAGCCUCUCUAGGCUCUCCGGCUGAGCCGGGUUGGGGGCCGGGUUGGGGGCGGCUGCCCAGCGCGGCGACCUGGGACUCUGGAGCAUCGGGAUUUAUAGCGCGCCCUCUGGGGAGGCGGCUGUAGCGGAGAGGCGUGCGGGAUCGGGAUGUCGGGGCUGCUCACGGACCCGGAGCAGAGAGCGCAGGAGCCGCGGCACCCCGGCUUCGUGCUGGGGCUGGAUGUGGGCAGUUCUGUGAUCCGCUGCCACGUCUAUGACCGGGCGGCGCGGGUCUGCGGCUCCAGCGUGCAGAAGGUAGAAAAUCUUUAUCCUCAAAUUGGCUGGGUAGAAAUUGAUCCUGAUGUUCUUUGGAUUCAAUUUGUUGCCGUAAUAAAAGAAGCAGUCAAAGCUGCAGGAAUACAGAUGAAUCAAAUUGUUGGUCUUGGCAUUUCAACACAGAGAGCAACUUUUAUUACGUGGAACAAGAAAACAGGAAAUCAUUUUCACAACUUUAUAAGUUGGCAAGACUUAAGAGCUGUUGAACUUGUAAAAUCUUGGAAUAAUUCUCUUCUUAUGAAGGUAAUCUUUUUCUUGUGUGA